UGGGGAAUUUUGGACAAUGGGCGAAAGCCUGAUCCAGCAAUGCCGCGUGUGUGAAGAAGGCCUUCGGGUUGUAAAGCACUUUUGUCCGGAAAGAAAUCCUUGGCUCUAAUACAGUCGGGGGAUGACGGUACCGGAAGAAUAAGCACCGGCUAACUACGUGCCAGCAGCCGCGGUAAUACGUAGGGUGCAAGCGUUAAUCGGAAUUACUGGGCGUAAAGCGUGCGCAGGCGGUUUGCUAAGACCGAUGUGAAAUCCCCGGGCUCAACCUGGGAACUGCAUUGGUGACUGGCAGGCUAGAGUAUGGCAGAGGGGGGUAGAAUUCCACGUGUAGCAGUGAAAUGCGUAGAGAUGUGGAGGAAUACCGAUGGCGAAGGCAGCCCCCUGGGCCAAUACUGACGCUCAUGCACGAAAGCGUGGGGAGCAAAGCAGGAUUAGAUACCCUGGUAGUCCACGCCCUAAAACGAUGUCAACUAGUUGUUGGGGAUUCAUUUCCUUAGUAACGUAGCUAACGCGUGAAGUUGACCGCCUGGGGAGUACGGUCGCAAGAUUAAAACUUAAAGGAAUUACGGGGUCAUAGCUGUUUCC
rnacentral:rRNA from 1 species